GAGAGCAGGUCAGUUCGAGAUAAGCUUUCCGUCAGUGUGGUUGAAUAUUGGUUGGUUGGGGUUUUUUCCACAGCUCCAAAAACUGAGGACUAUACUUCUGUGGUUAGUGUGAUAGGUUUUUUUGGUUUUUAAAACUUGUGCGUGAGUGUAUAUGAAUGAUUUAAAAAAUGUGGGUGUGUAUAUAUGAUUAUUUUCCAUGAUUCAAUUAUACAGUUCAUCAAUUGUAUUUUAAGACGUUUUCGUGUAUUCGGUGUAUGAAACUAAAUCAAAAUCAUCAUUUUGGAAUAUUUUUUCAUUAAUAAGAACAUCGACAGCAGAAGAAGCAAUACCGUCACAACCGGUGGACAUCGUUAGUAAGAUAAAGCCGAAUGAGGAUGCGGAGAAAAUAUGUGGAUGUAAUUUUCAUAAAGUUGAUUACGAAGAAAUCAUAAUUGAAAGCCAAAAUAUAAAACGCUGAAGAAACUGAAAUCGCCAAGGAGUAGCAAACAUCUCUUGCCUCUAGAGCAAUCUGUCGCAUAGUUUAUGUGAGGAUUCCGAAAGUCAAAAGAUUAGCAAUCAAAUGCUAUCAAUAUGGCGACAGCGAUAGAGGAAGCAGUGUUUAACGCUCUAAGAGGACAUCACAAUGAACACACGAAGCUACCGUCUCCUAGGAUAAUUAAGAUUUAUAUAGCAAGUCUAAAAGAUGAUUUCAAAGAGGAACGUCGUCUGCUGCUGGAAAUUAUUGGUCCAGAUCUUCAAGCCUUGUAUGACGACCGACAACUAGAGAUUGAAAUAGUUGACAUCCACUUCGGAACCGGUAGUGAUGGGCUAACAAUAGUAGACCUAGAUCCGUACGUGCUCGAUGAUCACCUGGAGGAAAUAGAAACAUGCCACUGCGUCUCGAAAAGUGUAUUUCUAAUCGUACUGCUGGGGUCACGUUUGGGCAAUUUUUUACUGCCAACAAAACUCGACUCCAGCAUAUUUACGGCCAUUUCUAAGCUAUCCACCGACGACGAAGUUCAGUGUUUGCGGAAGUGGUAUAGCACUACAUGCCCGAAGACGAACAUUCAUCAGACAGAAGACACCCAGCAUGGAGAAGGUUGCUACUGGCUCGCCACGAACUACAGGACACUGGAUAGGGCAGAAUGGGUGACAGAGGCACAGCAGUUACGCGAGCUGCUAGAACGAAAAAUAGACGAAGUGCUUCGCGCUGCUGAGGCCAAAGAAACAUCAGCCGGAGAUGGAUUGGACGGGGAACAAUUCUGUGAUAAUCUGAAACGACUGAAAACCAGAGCUAUCGCACGGGAAAUUGAAAAGGGUUUAGCGUGUUCGUCGGGACGCAUUUUGACACUUUUCCGCCAUUGGAAAAACCAGAACGAUUCCACCGAGCUCGAAGAAGAUGAACACUUGGGUUCGAAUACAGGCACGGAAGUGAAGCAGCUGGAAACCAACCUCAUAGAAGCAUUACCUGCCAGCAACCACCAAACAUUAACCGUUGAUUGGGCGGAAAAUGGAAUCGACCCCGAGAUCGAGUGUCACGAUCUGUACUUGACUAGCUUCAAGAACAAAAUGUUCGAAAUGAUGAAGGCUUCCAUCGAUCAGGACUUGGCCAAGGAUCCAAACGGGGGCAAAGGACGUAAGAAAACUGUACAGGAAAUUUUCCACGAGCACUCAACACAUUUAAUGUAUUUAAAUGAGCACCUGAGUGCAAAUAAGUACAUCUCGUCGAAAGUUCCGGAGCGGAUAAAACAAAAUGUGCAGAUGAACUUCCGUUCGGGUAGCCGGCAUCCGCCAUACUUCAUUCACGGUGGACACGGUAGCGGUAAAAGUACUCUACUGUCUCGUAUCUACACCGAACUGACAGGAUGGUUCGAGCAUACCAAAGUACACCGGGUGAUACGAUACGCUUCUGCUACUCCCCGAUCAGCGUACAAUUUGGAAUUGCUGCGCGUCAUCUGUCAACAGCUGGCCAUCAUCUUAAACAUCCCCGAAGGCUACUUGCCCAAGGAUGCAUCGUUUGACCCACUCUAUAUUAACAACUGGUUUCAAAAUUUGCUAAAGCACUGCGAAGACCUGCACAACGAGAUACUCUUUCUGUUCAUCGAUGAUCUUCACCGACUGAACCCGCUGGACUGCGAUAUUGUGGCUGCGUUGUCUUGGCUUCCAAUAAGUCUCCCUUGGAACGUAUUUCUGGUCGUAUCUACCACUGUGCCGAUCGAGUCACUCCGGUUGACACCAAUGCAGAAGGAGCGUUUUAAGUGUGCAGAUUAUUUUUUCGACCUGUCGUUGGAGCAAAAUGAAACAAAAAUUAAACACUGGGGUGUGGUACCUUCCUGUACCGAGGCGCCACCAGACGAAUUACCUACGUUCGCACAUCUUGUAAACGGUUUGUUCGAUGCGAUGGAGCAGCAGUUUGGCGUGAAGGGCUUCAGUCGGCUAGCCAUCUAUAUCACGUGCUCGGAGUAUGGGUUAACCGAAACGGAGUUGCUAGAGCUGCUAAUGCCAACGCAAGACGCGGAUCUGGUCAUCAAAAGCAAUGAAGGAGACUUCAACUUUUCCACCUUCCGUACAAUACGCAAUCAAAUGAAACUCAUACUAAGGGAGAAGCUUAUGUCCGGUAAGCUGUUGAUCGUCUGGCGGCACAGCAUAUGUGCGGAGAUAACCAGAGUUCGCUACAUGACACCGGACAUUACCCGUUCCAUUCACUCGGAGUUGGUGAAUCUGUUCUUUCCCCCGGACGGUGACGAUAGCGAGGACAUGUCGACCGAACAGCACAGCAGAAAAUCGAGUAUGCAAACACAACAAGACGACAAUGUAACGCAAGUGCUAAAUCUAGGGCCUGAUAUUUCGUACAGCAUACGGCAUGUAGAGGAAGCCUGGCACCACCUAAUCAAAUCUGAGGACACGAAAAAGCUGAAGGAAAUUGCUGUGUGCAACUUUGACUUCUUACUGGCUGCCGUGCAAACAGUGUCUAUCAGUUAUCUGCGCUGCCUGAUUGAACACGUCCGAUGUUACAUCCUAGACAGGGAUAUCGAGCUGGUGUAUUACACAAUUCGGAAGUCGAGUGAUGUUCUGACACGGGACCCAAUGCAGCUGGGGGCCCAGUUGAUUUCAUGGCUAAAAUCUGUGUCAGCACACGAGGGACCGCAAGCUCUACUAAGUGUAACUGUGCAAUCAGCAACAGCAUGGUGUGAUGGCUAUACCGUGCCAUUGCUUGUUCCGUUGACUGGUUGGCUUCCAGUUCCCCUGCCCAGUCAAAUUCGCUGCAUUACAGUUCCUGGACCAGGUCCAGUGCGAUGCAUCGAAGUUUCGCCGUCCAAACAACACCUGAUAUUGUCACCAAAAGUCGGAGAUCCCCAGCUGUGGCAUAUCAUGAGUAACAGUUUAGUUCAUACAUUUAAAGGUCAUAGCGGUCCGAUUACGUACAUGAAAGUCCUGUCGCAGUAUCUGGUCACAGCGUCGGAGGACACAUCCGUUAUCGUUUGGGACAUGAAAACCCUGGCAAUGAAGUUGAGAUUACGUGAACACAUUGCUCCGGCAUUAUGUGCGACUUUGGCAUUGGACAACAAAUACGUCAUUAGCGGAAGUGAUGAUUCCAGUAUUAUAGUUGCACUUUUGGAAACAGGAAAACUGGUAACCAAAUUUGAUCAUCACCGUGGUCCUGUGUCAGCACUGCAUAUGAGCUACCCCAGUGAAGUCCUCGUUUCAUCCAGUCACGAUGCAACGGUAUGUCUGUGGUCUCUGGAAAACUUUACACUACUCAACUGCAUCCAGAUGUCGCAGCCCAUUCUCAAUAUGCAGAUUUCGUGCGAUUCGACAUUCCUGCUGGCACAUUGCGCCGACAAUGGUUUGUAUCUACGCUCGCUGACCACGGGUACGGAGCUUCACGCCUUGAAAGGACACAAAUCGAAGGUACGAGCUCUUUGUAUAGCUAUGGACAGUCAGCGAGCGAUCGUUGGAGGUGAGGACACAAGAGCACUGAUCUUUGACAUGCAUUCGGGCCGUGUGAUUCGUUCACUGCCCCCGAAUCCUGGCGCCGUUACAGCGGUGUAUGUGAUGGAGAAGGACGACUACCUUAUUACGGCAGGUGGUAACAAAAUCACGUUUUACUCAUUCCGCAACGAAGAUUCCAUUGUCAAUUUCUAUCCAAAGAAGAAGAAAACACUUAAAAAGUUUCAUCGAAACCGGUUGGCUUUACAAUCAACUUCGAGUCCAGUGAUCUGUUUCGAUGUAUCGCGUGAUUCUACAAUGGCAGCUGUAGCGUCUAGUCGGUGCGUUCAGAUUUGGCAGCUGAAUUCACCAGAACUGACCAGUAUACUGGAGGGCCACUCAGCAACGGUAACAUGUGUGAGUUUUGCACCAAACUGUGAAUUGGUCGCCUCUGGCUCAGAGGACAAAACUGUGAACGUUUGGAGCCUAGGGCUGGGUACAGUGACUGCAACCUUCAAAGGCCACUGUACCUCGAUCAGUUCUGUGACUUUCAUGAUGGAUGCAAGACGUAUUAUAUCUGCCGAUCGGGAUGGUUUGUUGUACGUAUGGAUAUCCGACUCAGGUAUGAUUCUGCAAAGUGUUCAGGGUCCGCACAAGUGUCUAUCCGUGACAAACAAUAUGAAGUUUGCGGUGUGCACUAACGGAGACUCUAGUCUGCGUAUCUGGUCGUUGACGCGUGAAGAUGAGAAGUAUACAGUGUCACAUUCGGACGAGAUUACCUGCUUUAUCAUCACAGCCGACUCACUAUACGUCAUAACUGGAUCAAGGGACAUGUCACUGAAGGUGUGGCAGGCUACGGGAGGUAAACUGGCACAGGUUCUAGUCGGACAUACGGAUGCAGUUACUUGCGUUGCCGUGUCAGUUACCAACAAGAGCCAGGUGAUAUCAGGAUCAAAGGACUCGAAUCUAAUUAUAUGGGAUAUUCAUACUGGUGAGGAAAUACAUACGCUUGCUGGUCACCUCGGCCCCGUGACUUGCGUUAAAGUGUCGGCUGAUGGUACUACAGCUGUCUCCGGAAGUGACGAUAAGACACUUAUCGUAUGGGAAACGAAACGCGGUUUAGCAUUGACCUCUCUGCAGUUACACGUGCAGUUCACUCGAUUCGAUAUUAGUCUUGAAUGUUCUCGAAUAGUCGUGCAGCUGGUGGAUAAUUCUUGUCUACCCAUCAUCUGCCUCCACAACUCGCCGGCCAGCUACAUAAAGCUUCCGACCUAUUCGGCUCCGGCACGAGAUGUUGAGGACCUUCGACCGGCCGGGCCAAAGCGCCCUGCUCGUCGUCUGCUCAAGAAGGAGGUGUCGCUAGAUACAUACACAUGGCAGAAAAAGUAUGCUCACCUCACAUCCUCGGUUAUGAUGGCUCAGGUUGACGAGCGUCUCAAACGACGGUUCUCAGUGUCCGCCAGCAUGGAAGAAAUUUCUAAGCUAGCCGAAGCUAAGAAUGUUGAAUCGCAAGCUACUCUUGGACCGGAGCAGGCAGCACUCGCACAAUCCCAGCAUUUUGAUCAACUGGAGGCUCUGUGGAAUAAACGAUCGCCUCCCAGACGCAGACUUAAUGCGUCACUCUCUCGCCAAUCGUCACUCGUUGAGGAUCGAAUUGAUUCGUCUGAUGAAGAUGAGUUCCAGGAGGAACGCGCAGGUAUGUCCAAGAAACUGGCCCUCUUUCACGCAUCGCGUCCUCUAUCGCUUUCAGUAGAUGCAUGGAACUGUUCUAGUCUGUACUCCUCAACUUCCUCCACCAACACCCAAUACAACCAACCGAACCAUCAUCAACAGCAUCAUUACUACCAGCACCAUCACCGACACCAGCCCGAUCUGUUGCGUGAGGUACUACUACUGAAGAAGCAACACUCGGUACCGACGGGUGGCACAAGUGGUUAUUCGGGCGAUCCAUUCGGCGGUCAGCUAAAACUAUCCUCUACCGAGACCGACUUACAGGCAUUGUUUCGGCACUGUACAUUUGGCACGCUUAGUUGCCAUUCAAGACGUCGGCAGUCAAGUCCAGAAAAUGAACAGUACCACGUACGUAGACGUAUGUCUCGUUCGAUCGAUAAUCUUAACCACGAGGUAGCUGUAUUCAAUCAACAAUGUCGACGCAAUCCCAUGUCACGAUCCUGUUUAAUGCAGUAACAAGACAGUUGAUGUGGGCUUUUUGUUUCGCUACCUUGAUUUGGGGGUAAGGUGUGUGGUUAUAUAUCUGCGCAAAUUUCUUGUUGUGUUCCGCAUACUAACUAAACAAUAAUUCUUGUAGCAAAUAAUUUGCUUUAAGUUUUUCGCUGCUUUCUUUAAGCUAAAAAGUGAGUUCAAAUGAGAAUUUUAAUUGAUGUGAUUAGGGCGGAAACCCUCUGUGCAAACAAUAUCGAAACUAUGAAUUUACUCGGCGCAAAACCCUUUCAACGUUGGAAUAUUUUUUCCAAUUUUAUUUAUAUGCUUCAUCUCUUUUGAAGCUUAGUACACAUUUAAAUACAGGACUCUUUUAAUUUAGUAUUUUUCUAUAAAUACGGAAGCAGGGAUGGACUAAUGGUGAAUGGUAUGCGAUGAAUUGACAGAUAUAAUUGAAUUAUACUAGUUCUAAAUUAUUCGUUUGGUUGAAUUCGGUAAACUUCAUUAGCUUUCGUUAGCUAUUAUAAUAUUUCUCACUUUUUACCUAAUUCAUUAGAUCUUACAGUAAUUUGAAUUCUACUUCUUUUUUUAGUAGAUAGAUUUGGCAAAACGUACGAAAACAUGUCUACCUCUUUCAUAACUUUAAAUGUUUUCGGUUAUUUCAUCCGCCGAUUCUUAACUUUUCCCCCUUUGAUUAGUAGAUUGAGUAACCCUCAUGUAUUUUUAAAAUUUUGUAUCUACUUUAACAAUGUAGUUUUCUUCAACACAUUUUUAGAAACUAUAGCCUUAGUCGCCCAAUCUUUAAGCAUGUCUAGCACAUCUUUCCAAACUUUUACCAGUUCUGCUUCCAUAAUCUAGACAUCUACAGCUUGCUUAAGACGCUUCGUUUUACUGCCUUGCAUGUCCUAGCCGAUUGAAAAUAAUGUAAUGGAUACUUAUACAUUGCCGUAGGUAUUGCAAUAUUAAUUUUUCAAUAAUUCGUUUCAUGCCUGAUACAGCGGACGCAUUUAUUUUAAAUGGUUAGUACAAUCGUUCACAACAGUGGUUUUAGAACAGUGAGGACAAUUCUGAUUACAUUCCAGAGCAAAAAUCAUAGAAUUUUAGUUUUGCCUUCUGCACCUAGUGCGCAGACGUCGUAACUAAAAAGUAUCUUCCGUAAAGCUCCCAUAAUCAUUCAAAAGCUUCAUUCAUGCAAAUAACACUGAAAGUUCAUAAAAUGUUACAAGAGCUUUUUUGCCAUAAGCGAUAAAAGGGUAAGUUCAUUGUGAAAGCGCAAUGAAUGACUAGACAGGAAAAUCCUCUUUUCAUUGAUUUAUAACAAAUAGGCUUUUAUCAUAUCGUACCGAAAGCUCAUAAAAGGCCGUGAGAUGUAUUUUGAGUCAUUCCUAGAAGAUUUGAUUCAAUCAAUAGAAGAAGAUCUAGUUUAUGCAACCAGUACGUACUUUCAUCGUUCGAUGUUUCCCUGCAAGUAGCAGUGUAUGUAUUGCUGUAGUGAAGGUACUGAGUCGAUUGAUUCUAAAAACAAAUCGUUUCCGAAUGCUUUCCUACAGUGUUGUAGGCGAUUAAAUAUUAAGAUGUUAUUAGUAAUAAAAGUAGCAAUAGAGGAACAUUUUAAUGAUAAAAUAAAACUGAAUAAGAAGCAGACGUUGAGCAUUAGCGAGUAAGAUGAACCACAUGUUUUACGCUAUCAAAAGCAGAUAACGCAAAUAUACGCGCUAUAGCUGAUAUUCGUAGCAAUAUUAAUUAUUAUUACCAAGUAAACUGAACUGCAAAACAAUGAUAAAAAAAACUAUUCAUGUAUUGAUCAUAUGUAGAACUGAAUGUCAUUUCUGGCAAUACAUGUCUACGAUUUUUUUAAUACAACUCUAAAACAAGGGAUAUAAUUACAACCAAGAAAGAGUAGGUCGGGUUCCAGUAAUCCAGUAGCGCGUAAACAGUAGAACAAUGAAUGGGUAAAGUAAAAAUGUCAUGUGUGGUGUCUAAACAAGAUGAAUAUUAUUCUCUUAUAUUAUGCUAUACACCUUCCACUACGAAAGUAAAACAAGUGAACUGCACUGAUCUACGAUACCUUUACGAGAGAUAGAAGUCUUGUAGUGUACUGAACCUUUUUCUAGCACCGACAAUCAUGAUUGUUUGUUGACCGAUUUCUACAAUCAAGAACUUUCUGGAGCAGAAGAAAAACCAUGUUUUGCUGAGCCAAUUUAUUGGACCAUUGUUUGUCCCGUUACACCUUUUCUAGUUAAUGAGAUAUUUUGGAUCCAUUUAAGGGUUAAAAUUGAUGUUAAUGUAGAACAAUCAACCACUAUACGCACAUGUUAGGUACCAUAUGAACUAUAUAUGCAUGAUUGCGUUUUCCAUUACGAUUGUGUUCAAAUUGGUAUAUGAAUGAAAUGUUGUUCAACUUUUACUUCAAAUUUGUUAACUCCAUAGCUUCAAAUAACUUCAAUUUCCGACUUUAUUGCGUAUUAGAAUAAAUUUAAGGAAUUUCAAAGAUUUUGAUUUGUUUACAAUUAAUGUACCUUCCUACCUAUUUCAUAUUUCAAUAACUUGGAAUAUUAAUAAUUAAGAAGCCUUUUCGUAUUAUGCAAAGCAAUCAUUUAUUAUGUACUCUAUUAAAGUAUGUUUUAUUCUGAAAAGUAAAAUAAAGUGUGUUACUGUGAGGUAUGCAAACCAGUAGCAUAGAAAUACAAAUAACAAGAAACGAUAAACUUUAAUGUUAUGCAACCUGUAGUGACAAAAGUCAAUCAAAAAGUGAGAUACCACUAAUAAAAAUAUCCUACAGCAA